rnacentral:rRNA from 1 species
UACAGAGGGGGCGAGCGUUGUUCGGAAUUACUGGGCGUAAAGGGCGCGUAGGCGGCCUUCUAAGUCGAACGUGAAAUCCCCGGGCUUAACCUGGGAAUGGCCAUGGAAACUGGCGAACUGGAGUGCGGCAGAGGGGGGUGGAAUUCCGCGUGUAGCAGUGAAAUGCGUAGAGAUGCGGAGGAACACCGAUGGCGAAGGCAGCCCCCUGGGCUAGCACUGACGCUCAGGCACGAAAGCGUGGGGAGCAAACAGG